rnacentral:rRNA from 1 species
UACGAAGGGGGGCUAGCGUUGCUCGGAAUCACUGGGCGUAAAGGGCGCGUAGGCGACUUUUAAGUCGGGGGGUGAAAGCCCAGGGCUCAACCCUGGAAUUGCCUUCGAUACUGAGAGUCUUGAGUUCGGAAGAGGUUGGUGGAACUGCGAGUGUAGAGGUGAAAUUCGUAGAUAUUCGCAAAGAACACCAGUGGCGAAGGGCGGACCAACGUGGUCCGAUACUGACGCUG